rnacentral:lncRNA from 13 species
GCAUGCUGCAGUGACUGCUGCCAGGAACCUCUGCCACAUAGGUUAUACCACCCUUGAACAAUUCUUCCACAGCAAAUGCAGUGAAAACAGUGGCCAAUGCUCAAAACCAGGCAUACGAAAAGGUGCUCAACAUCAUAAAUCAUCAGAGAAAUGCAAAUAAAAACCAAAGUGAGACAUCACUACACACCUGUUACAGUGGCUGCUACCCACUCAGAUCACAGGUGUCGGUGAGGAUGUGGAGAAAAGGGAAACCUUCCACACUAUUGGUAGAAAUGUAAAUUCUUACAGCCAUUAUGGAAAACAUAUGGAGGUUCCUCAAAAAAUUAUCAUAGAGCUACCACAUGAUCCAACAUUCCCACUAAUGGCAUAUAUUCAAAGAAAAUGAAUUCAGUGUAUUGAAGAGAAAUCUGCACUCCUGUGUCCACUGAAGCACUAUUCACAAUACAAGACAUGGAAUCAAUCUAAGUGUCCAUCAAUGUAUGGAUAAAGACAAUGUGGCAUAUAUACUAAAUAAAAUACUAUCCAGUCAUAAAAAUAAGGAAACC